UACGUAGGUGGCAAGCGUUGUCCGGAUUUAUUGGGCGUAAAGCGAGCGCAGGCGGUUCCUUAAGUCUGAUGUGAAAGCCCACGGCUCCACCGUAGUAAGCCUUUGAAACUGGGAAACUUGAGUGCAGGAGAGGAGAGUGGAAUUCCUAGUGUAGCGGUGAAAUGCGUAGAUAUUAGGAGGAACACCAGUUGCGAAGGCGGCUCUCUGGACUGUAACUGACACUGAGGCACGAAAGCGUGGGGAGCAAACAGGAUUAGAUACCCUGGUA
rnacentral:rRNA from 1 species